GGACGCACCUCUGGUGUAUCGGUUGUCACGCCAGUGGCAUGGCCGAGUAGCUAUGUGCGGAUUGGAUAAACGCUGAAAGCAUCUAAGCGUGAAGCCAUCUCCAAGAUUAGAUUUCCCAUAGCGUAAGCUAGUAAGACCCCUUGUAGACUACGAGGUUGAUAGGCUGCGUAUGUAAGUACAGUGAUGUAUUCAGUUAAGCAGUACUAAUAGGUCGAGGGCUUGACCUC
rnacentral:rRNA from 1 species